CGCCGGAUCAAAGUAAUUUCUAACAAAAUAAUGUCUGGAAAACGGAGUUCUUAACAGCUUCUAGGCCUACGUUAGUUAAAAUCAAUGUUUUUCGUAGGGAAUCACUGUAUGCCUUUUAGUAUUUUUGUUUAUUUGAAUCAUCUACAGUAGAGAGUGAACCUAUCCAAGGUCAUUGAUAUUCAGAUGGCACCCGCGAUAGUAUAAUACUGUAUAUAAUAAAAUACUCCCUGAUUCGACCGACCUAUCAUGUCAGCUUUACCGAAAGCUGUCGGUGAUAGCGUGUAGCGAUUUUAUGGAAACCAGGCUUUAGGAUCGGUCUUUGAGCGAUUGCUCUAGAGGUACCCCGUGCUCUGGGCAAGUUAAAUAUCGGAUAGGCAAACUUGCUUAGUGUGAACCAAAAAAAAAAACAUACGCAGACAUUAGAGGAAGCAAGAAAACAGCGUUGUGCGGAAACUAUGGUUUGGCCUUUCCUUCCCUCAUUGCUUUCAACUUCCUUCGACACAGGUGAACGAAACUUGACAGUUCAUUCGUAAUAUGGCUUCCACCAGCAAAAAGUCGAAAUAAAAUAUUUGCCGUACUUUUCUUCGAGAUAAGAUUCAGUGAAAUGUUGAAGUUAGCAUCUUUGAACGUGUGAAUUCUCACAUCAAUCUGUAAGGAAAUGUUUUUCACAAUCGUUCGGAAUUCACAAACACCUAAAAAUAAAUUCUCUCUUUUAUUGAAAAUAAAUGUUGAUGAAUAAACU